GCAGGGUAAAGCAGGAGUGUGGUUCGAAGACCGUUUGGUUAAGUAGUGGUGUAUGGGGUGCAGCAGGUAGAUGAAAAAGAACGGUGACAAACUCUCUAUCAGGUGGGGUUGUGGAAGUGGAUCAGAAGUGAAUUGUUGUUUGAGGCGGGGAGCAGUGAGCGGAUCUGUUUUGUGUCAUGACAAGUAGUGUAGUAGGUUCUCUUUGAAGGACUGUUACCCACAACCUUUCUUGCAAGGGAUAAAAAAUGCUUUGAUACGUUCUUGUGUGCAUCAGGCUAAUGCAGGGUUGGCUUGGAAUGUGACAUUCAUUUGGAAUGCAUGGAACUCGGAACUUGAAACUUUCUCAAGCUUUUUCAGUUUGUUGUGUGGCUUGGGAACAAAAGUUUGCGAGGGAGAGUAAGUUAGAUGGGAGACUGAAUAUGAAAGGAUAUAUUAUGGUCAAGUUAUUUGACUGGGUCUGUGAAGAGGAAAAUGUGGUGGGGAUUAGGUUAGUUUCCAUGUGGUGAAAGUGAUACGUAACAGUGACAUUUGUUAUUGCAUUGUUUUCGGAGAAGACAGUUGUGGACUUUGGCCAGCUCCAUCAUGGGAGUUGUGUGGGUGCUUUUGGGUUCGUUUUGGGAUUGUAGUGGCAUGAACAAGAACAAUUGCAUGAAGGGGGCAAAGAUUAGUGGAUUGAUCCUGCAAACUUUUUUUUUUUUCCCCGAAGGGGAGGGAAAGGUACAGUAAAAGUUAUUCAGGGAGAGAAAACGAUAAUGUAUUGAUUUUGUUGGUGAAGAUUAUUGGAGGGAAAGGUAUAGAACAGUGACUCUUCCCCACCCCCACCCCCAUCUCCCACCCCAAGAGUAAUCUGGUAAACAGGUGUAGAUAAUAAUAUAUAGACACUUACUGUUUUAUUUUGUCUUGGCUUGAGCUGUGAAUUGUACCACCACGGCAAGUGGGAAAUCUGUAUCGAACAAAAGAUUUAAUUAUCAAUUUAUCGCUA